GACGAACGCUGGCGGCGUGCUUAACACAUGCAAGUCGAGCGGUAAGGCUCCUUCGGGAGUACACGAGCGGCGAACGGGUGAGUACACGUGAGCAAUCUGCCCUUCACACUGGGAUAAGCCCGAGAAAUUGGGUCUAAUACCGGAUAUCACUGCCGUAGGCAUCUACAGCAGUUGAAAGCUCCGGCGGUGAAGGAUGAGCUCGCGGCCUAUCAGCUAGUUGGUGAGGUAACGGCUCACCAAGGCGACGACGGGUAGCCGGCCUGAGAGGGUGACCGGCCACACUGGGACUGAGACACGGCCCAGACUCCUACGGGAGGCAGCAGUGGGGAAUAUUGGACAAUGGGCGAAAGCCUGAUCCAGCAACGCCGCGUGAGGGAUGACGGCCUUCGGGUUGUAAACCUCUUUCAGCAGGGACGAAGCCUUCGGGUGACUUUACCUGCAGAAGAAGCACCGGCCAACUACGUGCCAGCAGCCGCCGUAAAAC
rnacentral:rRNA from 1 species